UUCAGCUCCAAAAGCUGGGGCAGCUCAUCUGGGGCUGGUAAAACUAUUACGGCUUCACACCCAUGUCUGUCACCCUCCAGAACGUCUCUGUCCACCCGUCCUCACUCACAGGAUAGCCAUAUUUCUUUGCACUUAGGACUCUGAGAAGGCAAAAGUGGAAGCUGCAGUCUUCUAAGGCCUACAUUCUAGAACUCAGGUAAUUCACUUCUGUCACAUUUAUUCAUCAAGGUGCCCACUACAUGCCAGACCCUGACCUGGGUGCUGAAACACAGCCGUGUGUCCUGGUGGGAUGUGAACACCCAGCAGUGCUGAGAUCCAGCCAGCCAGCUGGUGAUACGUUGGUAGCCAGAAACCAGCCGUGACGGGAGCCUUCACACCAAGGAGAUCACAAACACUACAGAGCCUCUCCCUCCCAGGAGAGCUGGUGGUCACCGGGACAUCCCUGCACCUGUGUCUCUGAGGGUGAACUUACACAGCCAGGAGGAGGUACAGCCACAGACCUGUGAGCCGAUCUUGAGUGUGUGGCUAUGGCCGUGGGGGGGACUGGCUGGGCUGUCCACAUGGGUCAGUCUUGAUGAUGACUCCCUUCCUCCAACCGCCCACACUCAUGAGAGUGGGGAAGGCUGGGGUUGCCCGUCCUGGGCCAAAGUCUCUGGACCCCCACGUCCCACUCUUCUCUGAAUCGAAAACAUAAAUACCCACCCCUCACCCCUUCUUCCUGAAUAUCAGGCAGAUCAGCUUUCCCCCGGUUGGGGGGCCUAGAGACCCUCAAGUCUCUGGGUCUUUGUCUUCAGUAUUGCCCGUAGUGGCUCUGCAGUUUCCUUUGGGGCUCCAGGGGUGCCAGCUGGGUCUCCAACCUUCAGGGGUGGCUGGGUUGUCGGCCCCUGGAGGUGCCCGCUGAGCUCUUCGCUUGCCGGGUUCUCGGUUCCCCAAGGCACCCUCUGAGGGAGGCAUCACUGUCACUCCUUUCUUACACCAUGAAGGCCCCAAAGUAGGAGCGGGUCCCGUCACGGAGCCGGACCAGGCGCUCAUCCGGCACACGGACGACCACCUCCUCGCCAGCGUCCAGGUGGGGAAACUGAGGCAUGGAGCCAUUAAGUGACCAGCCAAAAGCAUCAAAACUUGUGAGUGGCAUAACCAAGGAACAGAGGCAGAGCGCACCCCGGGCCAGAAGACUUGUAAUCUCCAUGCUCUUCAGUUUUUCUCCAUUAAAAUGGACAUAUGAAUAGCGCCUCCUUGAGAUUUAACGAAUUAAUAUGUAUAGAGCAUAUUACAGCCCGUGACACACGGUGAGCGCCUUGUAAGGGUUUAUUCAAUGAUAUGAGAAAUGCAUGGACAUAGGCAGCGGGGCAGGUCUGUGAAUCAAUAGUGAACGGGUGACUGAAUGAAUACUCAGACAUGCUGGGUGUCUGUCUGGUCUCCCCAGGACACCCUGCCCCUCUCCCAUGUCACGACCCAGGG